UACGUAGGGUGCGAGCGUUAAUCGGAAUUACUGGGCGUAAAGCGUGCGCAGGCGGUGAUGUAAGACCGAUGUGAAAUCCCCGGGCUUAACCUGGGAACUGCAUUGGUGACUGCAUCGCUCGAGUAUGGCAGAGGGGGGUAGAAUUCCACGUGUAGCAGUGAAAUGCGUAGAGAUGUGGAGGAACACCGAUGGCGAAGGCAGCCCCCCUGGGUCAACACUGACGCUCAUGCACGAAAGCGUGGGGAGCAAACAGG
rnacentral:rRNA from 1 species